rnacentral:rRNA from 1 species
CAGCCGCCACGGUAAUACGUAGGGUGCAAGCGUUAAUCGGAAUUACUGGGCGUAAAGCGUGCGCAGGCGGUUGUGUAAGACAGGUGUGAAAUCCCCGGGCUUAACCUGGGAACUGCGCUUGUGACUGCACAGCUAGAGUAUGGCAGAGGGGGGUGGAAUUCCACGUGUAGCAGUGAAAUGCGUAGAGAUGUGGAGGAACACCGAUGGCGAAGGCAGCCCCCUGGGCCAAUACUGACGCUCAUGCACGAAAGCGUGGGGAGCAAGCAGGAUUAGAUACCCCUGUAGUCCCUGUCUCUUAUAC